rnacentral:rRNA from 1 species
UGGAAGUAAAAGUCGUAACAAGGUCUCCGUUGGUGAACCAGCGGAGGGAUCAUUACCGAGUUUACAACUCCCAAACCCCUGUGAACAUACCUAUACGUUGCCUCGGCGGAUCAGCCCGCGCCCCGUAAAACGGGACGGCCCGCCCGAGGACCCCUAAACUCUGUUUUUAGUGGAACUUCUGAGUAAAACAAACAAAUAAAUCAAAACUUUCAACAACGGAUCUCUUGGUUCUGGCAUCGAUGAAGAACGCAGCAAAAUGCGAUAAGUAAUGUGAAUUGCAGAAUUCAGUGAAUCAUCGAAUCUUUGAACGCACAUUGCGCCCGCCAGUAUUCUGGCGGGCAUGCCUGUUCGAGCGUCAUUUCAACCCUCAAGCUCAGCUUGGUGUUGGGACUCGCGGUAACCCGCGUUCCCCAAAUCGAUUGGCGGUCACGUCGAGCUUCCAUAGCGUAGUAAUCAUACACCUCGUUACUGGUAAUCGUCGCGGCCACGCCGUUAAACCCCAACUUCUGAAUGUUGACCUCGGAUCAGGUAGGAAUACCCGCUGAACUUAAGCAUAUCAAUAAGCGGAGGAA